UGCCUGUACCAUAACCGACACAGGUGGGUAGGUAGAGUAUACUAAGGGGCGCGAGAUAACUCUCUCUAAGGAACUCGGCAAAAUGACUCCGUAACUUCGGGAGAAGGAGUGCCUUAUUUAUAAGGUUGCAAUAACAAGAUCCAAGCAACUGUUUAUCAAAAACACAGGUCUCCGCUAAGUCGUAAGACGAUGUAUGGGGGCUGACGCCUGCCCAGUGCCAGAAGGUUAAAGAAGUUGGUUAGUGUAUGCGAAGCUGAUGACUGAAGCCCUGGUGAACGGCGGCCGUAACAAUAACGGUCCUAAGGUAGCGAAAUUCCUUGUCGGGUAAGUUCCGACCCGCACGAAAGGCGUAAUGAUUUGGAUACUGUCUCGGAGAGAGGCUCGGUGAAAUAGACUUGUCUGUGAAGAUGCGGACUACCUGCACCAGGACAGAAAGACCCUAUGAAGCUUUACUGUAACUUGAAAUUGGAAUUGGACUUUGCUUGCGCAGUAUAGGUGGGAAGCGUUGAAGAUAUUCUUGCGGGAGUAUUGGAGCUAUCAGUGAGAUACCACUCUUGUAAUGUUAGAUUUCUAACUUUGAACCAUAAUCUGGUCAAAGAACAGUUUCAGGUGGGCAGUUUGACUGGGGCGGUCGCCUCCCAAAUGGUAACGGAGGCGUACAAAGGUUUCCUCUGAACGGAUAGAAAUCGUAUCUAGAGUGUAAAGGCAUAAGGAAGCUUGACUGUGAGACCUACAAGUCGAGCAGGGACGAAAGUCGGUCUUAGUGAUCUGACGGUACUGAGUGGAAAGGCCGUCACUCAACGGAUAAAAGUUACUCUAGGAUAACAGGCUGAUCUCCCCCAAGAGUUCACAUCGACGGGGAGGUUUGGCACCUCGAUGUCGGCUCAUCGCAUCCUGGGGCGGUAGUACGUCCCAAGGGUUGGGCUGUUCGCCCAUGAAAGCGGUACGCGAGCUGGGUUCAGAACGUCGUGAGACAGUUCGGUCCAUAUCCGGUGUAGGCGCUGGAAUAUUGAGAGGAGCCUUCUUUAGUACGAGAGGACCGAGAAGGACACACCGCUGGUGUACCAGUUAUCGUGCCAACGGUAAACGCUGGGUAGCUAUGUGUGGAGUGGAUAACGCUGAAAGCAUCUAAGCGUGAAGCCCGCUCCGAGAUUAGGUUUCGUAGCACGAUAAGUGCGAGAGCCCCCUGGAAGACGACCAGGUCGAUAGGCCGGAUGUGUAAGCUCAGUAAUGGGUUAAGCUAACCGGUACUAAAGGGCGAAAGC
rnacentral:rRNA from 1 species